CAAUUAAAAAAAAGGUAGGAAGCAGGCCCUUGGUGGCUUAUUACCCGGGAUAAAAAAUAGGAAGGGUGUUUUUUUUUGUGGGUGUUUAAACAACAGGAAUUUUAACUAGGAACUCGGGGGGGACAGAAUCAACUACAAAAGGUGAAAUUCUUAGGUUUGUUAAAGACAAACUCAUGCGGGGGCAUUUGCCAGGGAGGUUUUCAUAAUCAAGAACGAAAGUUAGGGGAUCUUGACGAUCAGCGGCGGUCGAGUCUAACCAUACCUCCCCCUUGGGGGACAAGGCUG
rnacentral:rRNA from 1 species